rnacentral:rRNA from 1 species
CCUACGGGGGGCAGCAGUGAGGAAUAUUGGUCAAUGGGCGCGAGCCUGAACCAGCCAAGUAGCGUGAAGGAUGACUGCCCUAUGGGUUGUAAACCUCUUUUGUCAGGGAGCAACGCCGGCUACGUGUAGCCGGACUGCGCGUACCUGAAGAAAAAGCAUCGGCUAACUCCGUGCCAGCAGCCGCGGUAAUACGAAGGAUGCGAGCGUUAUCCGGAUUUAUUGGGUUUAAAGGGUGCGUAGGCGGAAUUCCAAGUCAGCGGGAAAAUGGUGGGGCUCAACCUCGCUCAGCCGUUGAAACUGGCGUUAUUGAGUGGGCGAGAAGUAUGCGGAAUGCGGGGUGUAGCGGUGAAAUGCAUAGCUAUCACGCAGAACUCCGAUUGCGAAGGCAGCAUACCGGCGCCCAACUGACGCUGAAGCACGAAAGCGUGGGUAUCGAACAGGAUUAGAUACCCGAGUAGUC